AAAUAGAAGUGCAAAGUUGCCGAAAGGCUGUGACGCAAAGCUAAAGGGGCUAAAGCAGUUAUACUGCUAUUGCCAGCCAGCUGCCGGA
rnacentral:ncRNA from 1 species